UACGUAGGGGGCAAGCGUUGUCCGGAUUCAUUGGGCGUAAAGAGCUCGUAGGCGGUUCGGCAAGUCGGGUGUGAAAACUCCAGGCUCAACCUGGAGACGCCACCCGAUACUGCUGUGACUUGAGUCCGGUAGGGGACCACGGAAUUCCUGGUGUAGCGGUGAAAUGCGUAGAUAUCUGGAGGAACACCGGUGGCGAAGGCGGCAUCCUGGACCAAUAUUGACGCUGAGGAGCGAAAGCCAGGGGAGCAAACGGG
rnacentral:rRNA from 1 species